AGUGGACAUGAGGUGAACCACGUUGUUGAAAUUCAACACGGAUAGAGUUCAGCAUUUCAGGCCAUCUCAAAUCAGCAGAGCUAAAAGAUGCAAAAAAGCAUGCAAAGUAGGCCCACCAGUAGGAUAGAGGACAGGGAAA